rnacentral:tRNA from 1 species
GGGCCUGUAGCUCAGCUGGAAGAGCACCUGAUUUGCAUUCAGGGGGUCAGGAGUUCAAGUCUCCUCAGGUCCACCA